rnacentral:tRNA from 1 species
GUCUCUAUCGUCUAGCCUGGUCUAGGACAUCAGCUUUUCAAGCUGGUAACAAGGGUUCAAAUCCCUUUAGAGAUACCA